GCUGACUCUCUUUUCAGAUUCAGCCCAGUUGCACCCAAGUAAAAUAAACAGUCUUGUUGCUCACACAAAGCCUGUUGGUGGACUCUCUUCAUAUGGACUCAUGUGACAUUUGGUGCCGAAGACCUGAGACAGGAGGACUCCUUUGGGAGACCGGUCCCCUGUCCUCGCCCUCUCUCCAUGAGAUCCACCCAUGACCUCGGGUCCUCAGCCCAGCCGAAGGAACUUCUCACCAAUUUUAAAUCGGAUGUGAAUCAGUGCAAGGGCCCAGGACAGCGGAAGAGGUGUGAAGCCAUCCUGUGAUCGGGAAGCCACAGGGUGUCCAGACCCAGCGGGAGCCGAGGAUUCAGGAGAAUCUCCCCAGUCAGCUCCAGAGGUGCCCACAGUGUGAGCUCUAGUGUCUCCCAGGUAGGGGCCAAAGCGUCACCUGCCCGGCCCUGGGGGUGCAAGUGGAGUGGAUUUUACUCCUGUCCAGAAAAUGGAGUGAGACCCUGUCUCUAAAUAAAUACAUACAU
ensembl:lncRNA IGFL2-AS1 IGFL2 antisense RNA 1